UUGAACGCUGGCGGCAUGCCUUACACAUGCAAGUCGAACGGUAACAGGGAGCUUGCUCCGCUGACGAGUGGCGAACGGGUGAGUAAUAUAUCGGAACGUACCUUUGAGUGGGGGAUAACUWGUCGAAAGACUAGCUAAUACCGCAUACGAUNUACGGAUGAAAGUGGGGGAUCGCAAGACCUCAUGCUCAUAGAGCGGCCGAUAUCUGAUUAGCUAGUUGGUGAGGUAAAGGCUCACCAAGGCAUCGAUCAGUAGCUG
rnacentral:rRNA from 1 species